rnacentral:tRNA from 1 species
AACAAGGUAUUUUAUAAAGAAUAGUGAGUUUGCGUCUCAUUGGUGGCGAUGCUCCUUGUUG